UUUCACAGUCGAUAACAAAAGUUAGACAUUCUAGUGCUUUUGUCAUAUAACUAAAUCUAAAAAAAUGCAAAGACCGUUUUCACGGAUAAGUUUAAGUAGUAAGAAUCAAACAAUGAACGGGUAAACUAGUCAACAUCUUCAUUAAGAUGCAAGUGUACCUGAUAACAAAAUUUCAGGCAAUUUUUAAGGAAAUUUGGCAGGAACAACCAUAGCAGGCUAAAAGCAUUGUAAUCUCUAAUGUUGAGAGGAAAUAUUGUAAACGUCUACUUGAUUUUGCUUUUAAUUAGGUAAAUCAUCAUUUUUCUCUAGCAGAGGAAUAAAACUGAAAUCUCGUGACUAAAACAUAUUUUAUCAUUUUGCAUUGUCAUUGCUAUUACUCAGAAAAAUAUUUGUCAUCUUAUUAUCUGAUUUCCGUUUUCAUGAAUAACAAUUUAAUGAGUAUAUCAUCGUGUAUUCUAACUUUAUUAUUUACUUAAGGUGCAGCAAAAUAAUCUUCUGGUCAGAAGUGUAACAUAUCAAGAUGGAAGCUUGGAAAUUCUUCCUAUUACUGUAAAUGUGGCACGAGUAUUCGUGGAAAUCCCCAACAAGUCAGGUGUCAAUAUAGAUGUCCAGGAUACCGGAAUGAAAUCUGCGGAGGCCAAAACAGUAUGUCAGUGUAUUCCAUAAGGUUACUUGCUACGAAACCAUCUCUACCAGCACAAACUAAUGCAUUGAUAUGGCCUAAAAAAAAAUUCUUUGUUUCCGGUAACAUGCUGAAAAAAAUUAGGGUAGGUAGGUCGGAAUUUUUUUUUUUUGGAAUUUUUUUUUAUUAAGGGGGACUUUUCGGAAAUUAUUUUUUUGUCAAAAAAUGAUUACAAAUAAGGGGAUUAUGCCUUUAGAGCACCAGUAAGUUGAUUUCUAACAUCACUGGCUAUGUUUAAAGCAUAAAAAGUGCAGUUUUGCAUCUUUUUGUUAAAAAGUUGAAAAAAAUAUUUUCCAGGGCCAUAAAAACAUUUAGGGUCGGGCCAAAAAUUUAGGGUAGGUCGGGAUACCGGAAACAAACAAUUUUUUUUACGCCUAACAUCAACAGAAAGUAUCAACAGCUUCACUGAACAAUAUGUUUAUAAUGAAGGAGAAGCAGACAGUGGC